rnacentral:rRNA from 1 species
UCAAGUAAUUAAGUGCAUGUGGUGGAUGCCUUGGCAGUCAGAGGCGAUGAAAGACGUAAUAGCCUGCGAUAAGCUUCGGGGAGGCGGCAAAUAUCCUAUGAUCCGGAGAUUUCUGAAUGGGGAAACCCACCUAUCGUAAGGUAGGUAUCGCAACAUGAAUACAUAGUGUUGCGAGGCAAACGAGGGGAAGUGAAACAUCUCAGUACCCUUAGGAAAAGAAAUCAAUUGAGAUUCCCUCAGUAGCGGCGAGCGAACGGGGAACAGCCCAUUAAGUCAUAUAAGUUCUAGUGGAAUGCUCUGGGAAGUGCAACCAUAGUGGGUGAUAGUCCUGUACACGAAAGGGCUUAUAUGAUGAUGUCGAGUAGGGCGAGGCACGUGAAACCUUGUCUGAAUAUGGGGGGACCAUCCUCCAAGGCUAAAUACUCCUGACUGACCGAUAGUGAACCAGUACCGUGAGGGAAAGGCGAAAAGAACCCCUGUGAGGGGAGUGAAAUAGAUCCUGAAACCGCAUGCAUACAAGCAGUGGGAGCCGACUUGUUCGGUGACUGCGUACCUUUUGUAUAAUGGGUCAGCGACUUACAUUCAGUAGCAAGGUUAACCGUAUAGGGGAGCCGUAGGGAAACCGAGUCUUAAUAGGGCGUUUAGUUGCUGGGUGUAGACCCGAAACCAGGUGAUCUAUCCAUGAGCAGGUUGAAGGUUGGGUAACACUAACUGGAGGACCGAACCCACUGUCGUUGAAAAGCCAGGGGAUGACUUGUGGAUAGGGGUGAAAGGCUAAUCAAACUUGGUGAUAGCUGGUUCUCCCCGAAAGCUAUUUAGGUAGCGCCUCGGACGAAUACCAUUGGGGGUAGAGCACUGUUUCGGCUAGGGGGUCAUCCCGACUUACCAAACCGAUGCAAACUCCGAAUACCAAUGAGUACUAUCCGGGAGACAGACUGCGGGUGCUAACGUCCGUAGUCAAGAGGAAAACAAUCCAGACCGCCAGCUAAGGCCCCUAAAUUAUAGUUAAGUGGGAAACGAUGUGGGAAGGCAUAGACAGCUAGGAGGUUGGCUUAGAAGCAGCCACCCUUUAAAGAAAGCGUAAUAGCUCACUAGUCGAGUCGGCCUGCGCGGAAGAUGUAACGGGGCUAAAACUAUAUGCCGAAGCUGCGGAUUUGCAAUUUAUUGCAAGUGGUAGGGGAGCGUUCUGUAAGCCGAUGAAGGUGGAUUGAGAAGUCUGCUGGAGGUAUCAGAAGUGCGAAUGCUGACGUGAGUAACGACAAAACGGGUGAAAAACCCGUUCGCUGAAAGACCAAGGGUUCCAGUCCAACGUUAAUCGGGGCUGGGUGAGUCGACCCCUAAGGCGAGGCCGAGAGGCGUAGUCGAUGGGAAAUUGGUUAAUAUUCCAAUACUUCUGUGUAAUGCGAUGAGAGGACGGAGUAAGUUAAGUCAGCCUGGCGUUGGUUGUCCAGGUGAAAGGAUGUAGGCAUGUAUCUUAGGCAAAUCCGGGGUACUCUAUGCUGAGAUCUGAUAGCAAGCUGUACUUGUACAGUGAAGUGGCUGAUACUAUGCUUCCAGGAAAAGUCUCUAAGCUUCAGUUACACAGGAAUCGUACCCGAAACCGACACAGGUGGUCAGGUCGAGUAGACCAAAGCGCUUGAGAGAACUCUGCUGAAGGAACUAGGCAAAAUGGUACCGUAACUUCGGGAGAAGGUACGCUGCUGACGGUGAUGGAACUUGCUUCCUGAGCUAUCGGCAGCCACAGAAACCAGGCCCCUGCAACUGUUUAUUAAAAACAUAGCACUCUGCAAACACGAAAGUGGACGUAUAGGGUGUGAUGCCUGCCCGGUGCUGGAAGGUUAAUUGAUGGGGUUAGCGUAAGCGAAGCUCUUGAUCGAAGCCCCAGUAAACGGCGGCCGUAACUAUAACGGUCCUAAGGUAGCGAAAUUCCUUGUCGGGUAAGUUCCGACCUGCACGAAUGGCAUAAUGAUGGGGGCGCUGUCUCCAGCAGAGGCUCAGUGAAAUCGAAAUCGCCGUGAAGAUGCGGUGUACCCGCGGCUAGACGGAAAGACCCCGUGAACCUUU